rnacentral:misc_RNA from 1 species
GAAAAAAUGAAGGAAGAGAUGAGUAACUUUGAGGAAUUCAAGAUCCAUUCUGCAGAAAAUCAUCGGGUUUUAAAAAACGUUACCAUCCCAGCUAGUGUUCCAGAUCCUGAUCCAGUCGAUGAUCAACCAGCUCCGAAAAUACGCUCUAUUUCCCAGCUUUCUGCUCCUAAGAACAAGAAGAAGAAGGCUCGACGGAGAGAUGCUCGGAAUUACUGAUCUUCAUCUCAACUCUCCUUCUCUUUUGGAACUCAAAACUGUCAUAAAUUCUAUUUCCUCAAUUUCAAUCAUGUCAAUAUGUUACGUUUAUUUUAUUGAGUAUAUAUUCUAGU